AAGAUACUUAACUUCAUUGCGCCAUUCCGAUUCUGGAAUCUUCUUACAUCUAAACAAAAUUUUAAGUAAAGCGACAAAUCGGAGAACAAAGUCGUCGAGCAAGAAGGAAAAGCGCAAUGAAAAUGAAACAGAAAUUCUUGGUGAUUUGUGGUUGCUUGCUGGCGGUUGGACAAGCUGGCGUGAUCGGCGGUGGUUUGCUCGCAACCGCGCCCGCAGCGGUCGCGGUGCAGCCAGCGGCAGCAGCGGCUCUUCCUCUGUCCACUGCAGCAGCCCUUCCCCUGCCCACAGCCGCCCUCGCUGUACCAACUAUCGCAACAUCGACCUCUAACGUGAUACGGGGUAUCGGUAACUUAGGUGCCAUAUCGGCCUACGCGAAGAGCGUAGAUACGCCGUUCAGUAGCGUCAGGAAAGCGGACGUGCGCGUUAACAAUCCUGGAAUCGUGACGGCGACCGCUGUGCCCGCCCCGGUAGUUGCGGUCGCAAAUACCGCUCUUGCAGCUCCAGUGGCUACAGCAGCUGUCGCCGCUCCUGCGCUUCUCGCACCUGGACUGACCACCGCAAUCGGAGCUGCACCCGCUCUCACCGCUGGUUUAACUCCUCUGGGGCUUAACGGGCUUGGAGCUUUGCAGGGAUUAGGAGCCGUCAAGGUUCUUUAAGGUCCACACGCUCGAACCACUACGAAGCGGCGGAGGACUCGACUAAAACCACGACCGAUUAUGAAACGCGUUCAAACAUUCGUGUCGAUGGCGAAUCGUUUUUACUACCUAAACGAUCAACUUUGUCACAGAAUGCCUAACGUAUUCGCGAAUCCAAGUCAGAUAAUAGCGAUUACUUCGUGAUAGACCUGUGCCAAGUGGUAAUCAUCUAUCUGAACAUUGUUGUGUGAUUGCGAUAGAUUCUUCGAUUUACGUACUAUGCGUAAUCUCG